CCUACGGGUGGCAGCAGUCGAGAAUCUUCGGCAAUGGGCGCAAGCCUGACCGAGCGACGCCGCGUGGAGGACGAAGGCCUUCGGGUUGUAAACUCCUGUCGAGGGGGAGGAAGGGGAAACCUUGACCGAUCCCUGGAGGAAGCACGGGCUAAGUUCGUGCCAGCAGCCGCGGUAAGACGAACCGUUCGAACGUUAUUCGGAAUCACUGGGCUUAAAGCGCGUGUAGGCGGAUCGGUGCGUCGGCGCCUGAAAGCCCCCGGCUCAACCGGGGAACGAGGGCCGAAACGACCGGUCUGGAGGGACGUAGGGGGAGCUGGAACUUCCGGUGGAGCGGUGAAAUGCGUUGAGAUCGGAAGGAACGCCCGUGGCGAAAGCGAGAUCCUGGACGUCUACUGACGCUGAGACGCGAAAGCUAGGGGAGCGAACGGGAUUAGAUACCCUAGUAGUC
rnacentral:rRNA from 1 species